UCAGUAAUAAUUGAAGUAAAGAACCAAUAUAACCAAUAUAAAUAUAAAAGGCUAUAAACAGAUCCAUUUAUUUACAAUCGAAUUAUAUUUGUUCAAUACACCAUUGUCAAUAUGAAUUAUAUGAAAACAAAUCCAAUUUUUUACAAUAAUCAAUCAAUAUGGAUUUUUGAUUGAUUGGACCUUAUAGAGAUAGAAUAAAGGUGAACUUUUCGAGGAAUCCUCCAUCAGUGGUUGUGAGUGACUGACUUUUUCAAUCUUUUCAACCUUGGUUGCGUAAGUUCCCUAUCCACGAGUCUGUCGUUGUACUGGAAUACAAAUACCUUAAAUAAACAGGUAGU
rnacentral:lncRNA from 1 species